rnacentral:rRNA from 1 species
CCUACGGGUGGCAGCAGUGGGGGAUAUUGCACAAUGGAGGAAACUCUGAUGCAGCGACGCCGCGUGAGGGAAGAUGGUCUUCGGAUUGUAAACCUCUGUCUUUGGGGAAGAAAAUGACGGUACCCAAAGAGGAAGCUCCGGCUAACUACGUACCCACAGCCGCGGUAAUAGGUAGGGGGCGAGCGUUGACCGGAAUUACUUGGUGAAAGGGGAGGGUAGGCGGGGGAGAAAGCUGAAUGUUAAGUCUACCGGCUUAACUGGUUGCUGCGUUCGAAACUUCUUGUCUUGAGUGAAGUAGAGGCAGGAGGAAUUGCUAGUGUAGCGGUGAAAUGCGUAGAUAUUAGGCGGAACACCAGUGGCGAAGGCGGCCUGC